ACUCAAAUGAAUUGACGGGGGCCCGCACAAGCGGCGGAGCAUGUUGCUUAAUUCGACGCAACGCGAAGAACCUUACCAAGGUUUGACAUCACCUGGAAACGUGCAGAGAUGUGCGCUCCUUCGGGCCGGGUGACAGGUGGUGCAUGGCUGUCGUCAGCUCGUGUCGUGAGAUGUUGGGUUAAGUCCCGCAACGAGCGCAACCCUUGCUCCAUGUUGCCAGCACGCUCUCCGUUUGGGGGGUGGUGGGGACUCAUGGGGGACUGCCGGGGUCAACUCGGAGGAAGGUGGGGAUGACGUCAAGUCAUCAUGCCCCUUAUGUCUUGGGCUGCAAACAUGCUACAAUGGCUGGUACAGAGGGUGGCGAUGCCGUGAGGUGGAGCGAAUCCCUAAAAGCCGGUCUCAGUUCGGAUUGGGGUCUGCAACUCGACCCCAUGAAGUCGGAGUCGCUAGUAAUCGCAGAUCAGCAAUGCUGCGGUGAAUACGUUCCCGGGCCUUGUACACACCGCCCGU
rnacentral:rRNA from 1 species